GGCUCAGAGGUUAAAGCAUCUGCCUGCAAUGCAGGAGACCCAGGUUCGAUCCCUGG
rnacentral:tRNA from 1 species